GAGUUCAUGCCUAAUUACACUCCAUGCCACUGAGUCAAAUAUUGACUGUCCAAAACUUUUCACUGCUUUACUACACGUCAAACGACAAACGCAAUUCUUCUUCCCUAUUUCAGAAACAAACGAAACUGCAGCUGUAGUACCGUCUGCUUUGCUUCCUUAUUUGCUUUGCUGUGAUUUCAAUUCAAAAUUCAAAUUCAUAUCAUUCAAACUCAUUCAGAUCUCAUCUCUUUUCAUACCGAAGCUCUCUCACCUCACACCUCCACCUGCUCCAUUCCUAGGUGUACUCGGUGAAGAUUUUGGGGGACGUUCAAACUUUGUGUUAUUGGAUGGAAGGCAAAAAGAUGAUGGUCAGUAGUGCGACAUUGGAGAAUUCUGUUUGUUGCAGGAUUCUAUGCGGCUUCUGAUGCAACACAAAUCUCAGUCCUUACUGAUGCCUUCAAGGUGGCACCUCUGCUGUUUCAAGCAUUUUCAACUAUGGAUGGAAGAGGAACGAUAUCUCUAGGUUUCCGGGUGAAACCAUUGCUCAAGUUCUUCUCCAGUUUCUAUGGUGAGGGUGUCAGUGUAUAUACUUAAAACUUUGGGCGAUAAUAUUUCUUCGUUCAUUUGCCUUCCUUGCGAGAACUUAUAUGUGUGUGUGUGUGUGUGUGUGUGUGUGUGUGUGUGUGUGUGUGUGUGUGAUGCCUCUGUAGUGUAUAUAGAUUUGGUGGAUCCUAGCAGAUAUCUAUUUUGUGCUGCAUCAGUAGUGUUCCUUUAGCUAUAGAUUGAGUUUUCAAUUAUACAAAUGAUUUGGAGUUGUGUUUAAAUUUCAGUUGCAUGUUUGCUGUUUAUAACAGUUUUUAAUUUAUUAAUAAAUUGUCCUGUUGUUGAUCAUCUGUUUGUGUAUGACAUCCUGACCAUUUUUUCAUUAUUACAAAUUAGUUUCUAAGAUCAAAAUUGUGGGAGCUUCUCACAUUUGGUAUCUGUUGUAUGGAAGUAUGGUGUUGGCAUUUUUUUGAGGGUUGAAUAGGCCUCGGCAGUUUAUAUUGUUAAAAAUGACGUUAAUGUGAAUAGUUAAGAUGCUGGUCGAUAUGCCAUUUAUGUUGUUAUACAGGCUUGGAAGCUCACAGAUCGCAAUUGUUGUCACCACUGCCAUUUUUCUCACUUUUCUAUCCUAUUUAUAUGUAUGUUUAUGUCAACCCCCCCCCCCCUCUCCGGCAUUCAUAUUUAUACAAGCUAUGGAUAUCCGGUUUUAGUUCAAUAAAGUCAUGCUUUAACAUUAUUCAUGUCGAGGGAGCAUUUCUCUCUACAUUGUUGCAGGUGACAGGAACUCUGCAGAAACAAUUGCUAAUGUGCUCACAUCAAUUCCUCGCAUUCCAGUUGAGCUGCUGAUUUGGUUAAAGGUUGGGGAUUCAAGAUUAGAAAUUGCCAGUCCAAAAUCUGCAAUAUGUGCAACCAUGUUUUUAUCAAGCAAAACGUUGCCUGGUUUUAGCAAUGAAUUAUGCUAGAUAUGCAGCGAUGAUGGAGAUAAUUGAGUGCACAGGCUACAUCAAUUGCUACUUUUAUUCUGGCAUGAAGGCUCAAUAUUUGAGGUUUGAUGGGCCUAUCAUUACUAAACUAUUUAUGAAUACUCAGUUGCACAACACACAUACAAAUAUAAUGCUUUUUUUUACUACUCAGCUUGCUCAUUUUCUUUACAUUCAUUUUUAGGGCAUUUCUUUUCGAGCUUUCUUCUUCAUAAUCUCCAUCUCUCUCUUUCUUCUUUUUUUCAUUUUCUCUUAAAUUUAAGCAAAACCACUUGACUACUCCAUAAAUAUAUAUACCUAUGUUUUAGGAUGCAUUGUUCACUAUUCCACUCACAGGAAAUUGACUCCAAAUGUAUGAGCAUGUGUCUCGGAGUGCAUAGUUUUGUACAUUUUGAGGAAUUUUGUGGGAGUAAGAGAGAUAGUAAAAGGAGCACACAUUCAUAUCUAUGUUGUUAAUGUGAAUAGUUAAGAUGCUGAUCGAUCUGUCAUUUAUGUUGUUAAAAAGGCUUAGAAGCUCUCAGAUCCGAAGCCUCUAGCUGGAUACUUCGUCAUUACUUGCAACUUCCUAACAGACAACAGGCUGGUGGAAGUUUGUGCACAGUACACGCUUACUUAAAAAAUGGUGGAAGUUUGUGAAAUUUGGUGAUAUUAGUAGAGGUUAAUUCUGUGAAUUUUUGUGUGUUACAGGGGAGUGAGUAGUCAUCUUCUGAUGGCAACAUCACCGUCUCUGAAUUCUUCGCCUUCUGCUGACCCUCCUAUACCACACCUCUCAAGGUGAAAUCAGAAAUUUAGAGAGUUUCGGUCUAAAAUUUAUAAGGUUUCCAGAAUUUAUAAGCUCAAGUUUGUUCUCUAGGAGGGGCAAACACAUUGGGUCGUGCGACAAAGCAGUAGUGGCUACUGAAUGUUGAAGGAAUGAUGAAAGUUGUGGAUGAGAGCAGGAGAGGUAUAAGAUAAGUGAAUUUGGAGGAUUUUGUUUUAUGUUCAAGGGCUGAAGUAAAUUCAGUUGUAGCUGUGGAACAUAACAGUGAACGGUCUAGAGCUGCAUUUGUCAUUGGUGAAACAAGAAUCCUGUGUGAAUUUGCUGACAUUGCUCCUGAUGAGAAUUCUUUUGUCCAGAAACAGGAUGAGGUGUCCAGCCUAGCCUCUCAAUCAAGUUUGAUGAAUUUGAUGCUUCUCCAUUAACGGUAGAGCCUAUUACUUCAGCUGGAUAUAUUCAAAUGACCAAGGUGCAAGAGGCAACAAUUGCUGCUUGCCUUAAAUUUGCUGCUUGCCUUAAAGCUAAUAAUUGCAACACAACCGGAUCCAGAGCAUGGGAAUUCGCCAAAAAUUGUAACUGAAGAUAACAUCAAGUUACAGCUGUGUCAAGGUAUGUAUUCAUUUGUAGUAUAGUUUUUAAACAAAAAUUUAUAUUUUAGAACUUUUUUUAAAUGAGGACUAAAUGAAGAAUACAUCGCCAAGGAAACAUUCUAAAUUCUAAAUUUACAUGCAUAUGAUAUUUAAGCCUUUUAUAUUAUUUUGAUAUUUCCAUCGGUAAGAUCGUGCAAAGAGGUAAAUGCUUUUGCUAAAGGUAGUGAAAUAAUUUGAGAUGGGGAGAAAUCCUUGCUGGGAGAAAGUGGAAUUGAAGAGAGGGAUAUGGACUGCUAGAGAAGACGAAAUCUUGACAAAAUUUUAUUACCCUUGGGGCCUUAUUGCAUUUCUUUACCACUUUUUACAUUUUAUAGAGAAGUUUGUGCAUGUUUCUGCGUAGAAGUACAUAGAGGACUGCGCGGGUGCGACUGCUGUUGCUGAUCUGUCACCUCCAUUAGCAUGUUCAAUACUGCUUCAUAGCGUUCAACCAGUUCUUUCUGAGGUUGCUGUUGGGGCUGGCUAUGCUAUUACUUAAGUGGAAUUCCUAUUUGAUUUGUGCUUGGCUAUGCUAACCAAUUGCAAUUUAAAGGGAGUCCGUCUAAGUUAUGUCGACUUAUGAGAGUAGAAAAUAUAUUAAAGAGUGAUGAUCCCUGACCAUCGAUCGCCAGGAGUGGCUAAAUAAUAUUAACAAAAAGGAAUGUAUCUUAAAUUAUAAUCCAAUGCGACCAAAUCAUAUGUAACAAAUGUGUGCAUAUACAUGUACUUUGUGGUUGAUGUCUUUGGAAUUUGCUGCCCAAUGUCAACCCUCAGGCACCCUUAGCUCUGUGUUGACAUUUAGAUUGAAAAAUGUAAGCUUUACGUUCGUUAGUUGAUAUGGAAUGGAAUUGAAAAUUGUGAGUGAAAUUUAAGGAAGGAGGACGUGAUAGUGAGGAAUAAAAUGAUUGGGAUUGCUGUGAAGAGGUUGAGUGAGGUUGUGUGAUUGGAAUGAAAGUUAUGAAUGAUUGUAUGUGUAGUUUUUUCUUAGGAAUUUGUACAAAUUACAUAUAUUUUAAAUUAAGUUGAGCAUUUGUAUUA